rnacentral:rRNA from 1 species
CCUACGGGUGGCAGCAGUAGGGAAUUUUCGGCAAUGGGGGGAACCCUGACCGAGCAACGCCGCGUGAACGAAGAAGUUCUUCGUAAUGUAAAGUUCUUUUAACAGGGAAGAAAGAUAAAUUUGACGGUCCCUGAAGAAUAAGCUCCGGUGACCUACGUGCCAGCAGCCGCUGUAAUACGUAGGGAGCGAGCGUUAGCCGUAAUUAUUGGGCGAAAGGGGUGCGUAGAUGGGAUAGUAAGUCUUUUGUAAAAAUGCUGGGCUCAACCCAGUAGGGCAAAAGAUACUGCAAAGCUAGCGUAUGACAGAGGCAAGUGGAACUACAUGUGUAGCGGUAAAAUGCGUAAAUAUAAGUAAGAACACCAGUGGCGAAGGCGGCUUGCUGGGUCGAUACUGACAUUGAGGCACGAAAGCGUGGGGAGCAAACAGGAUUAGAUACCCGAGUAGUC